rnacentral:lncRNA from 1 species
GCAGAUGGAAAGCAUGUGAUAUCUAACUUAUGAACAAGUGGAUAUUUUCUCCCAUUUUCCAGCAAUUGUGAAGUCUAGGACCUGAGUCUUUGAGUGGCUCUACCAGUGACUAUUUCUACCAAAUGAUGCUUGGACACCAAGACCCUGGAGUCUACAUGGAGUCCACUCGUUAUCCUCCCACGAUGUACUUGUUAUUCUCAAUAGAACGGUGUUACUGAGGGUGAUGACUGUGAGUGACAAACUGAGGGGCCAUUCAAAAAGGAUUGUUGAAUAUGUGCCACCCACAAAAAUCUGGACAGCCCCUGUUCUGUUUCCACCCACGGCCACGUUCAAAUAAACACCAGCCCAAGACUGACAGUCACCAAAGACUUGCUUAUCUUCAUUAUCUGUCCAACAUGGUAUAUUUUUAUUCCACAAGCUACACAGUCCACGACUUUCUAAAAUUGUCUGAUCUCUCUCCAUGCAGACAUGCUGCCCAUCAGCCAAACCCCCUCUCAGAUUUCCUGAAACUUCUCCCUAUGCUUGCUUGCUUGCUUUUUUCCUCCUUUGUCUCCCUUUUAUGAUGCAGAUGGAGUCUCUUCUUGGGAUGUGAAUUCACCCAGCAGCGCCCGGCUCCUAUCAAUAACCUCCUUAUGCAUUACACACAUUCUCCCCAACAAGGGGUCAAGACCCCUGGGGGACCCUGAAUUUGUGAAAGAAGACACCAUAGUGAUAGUGGUAGUUAACAGCAUAGACAUAUUUUUUUCUUUAAACAUAUACACUGAAAUCUAUGAGAAUGUCCUGAGCGCAUCCUCUCUUCAUUUAGGAGAAUGCAGCCAUUUGUUAGAUCUCACCCAUGGUUUGUGGCCACGGGCUUAGAUAUUACUCUGGGAGUGACAAAAAUGGUUUGUGGACAUAGUUCCAAAGAGGACUUCGGGGGCAAGUAGGAAGAAGGUUUGAAAGUAGCAGGAUGGAAAGAAGAUUAUUAGUUUGUUUUAUAAUGUUCUCCUGUCUUAGAAAACUUAAAAUGGUUUAUGUGAGCACAGACUAACCUAAACAUUUUAGCCUGUCAAUCAUAGCGUGUUUGUUG